CAGAACCCUUUCCUCUUUCCCUCUUGAAUACCUCAUGGCCAAACAUCUCUAGUGUUUCUCCUAACUUUUCUGAAUCCCUAACCCUCUCUCUCUUUUUUCUCAACUGGCCCCAAGCAGUAAUGGAGCUCUCCUCUGUUUGUCUCAUCUUGGUGUCUCUCUCUCUCUCUCUCUCUCUGGCAACGAAGGUGAAGAUGGUUAAGGAGAAUUCCACGCUUUCCUUUUUCAUCUUCUUGGCUUUAGUGAAUGUUGGUCGUGAUUGGUAAAACAUGUCCAAUAUAUAAGUGAAAGCAAGACUUGCAUAUGGACACACAUGGCCUCAUUAGAAAGGAUGGAACAAACUAAUCUGCAUUAGGCAGACAUGGGCAAUUCAAAUCAAGAUUUUGCUAAAAAUUAAAAUAUUUAUGUAAUUUUAUCUAAUGAUGGAAUUCCAAUUCAUUAAAUUUGUUCUUGUAAUAUGAUUUUGUAAAACAUGUAGCUU